rnacentral:rRNA from 1 species
GACAGAGGGUGCAAACGUUGUUCGGAAUUACUGGGCGUAAAGCGUGCGCAGGCGGCUUUGCAAGACAGAUGUGAAAUCCCCGGGCUCAACCUGGGAACUGCAUUUGUGACUGCAAGGCUAGAGUACGGCAGAGGGGGAUGGAAUUCCGCGUGUAGCAGUGAAAUGCGUAGAUAUGCGGAGGAACACCGAUGGCGAAGGCAAUCCCCUGGACCUGUACUGACGCUCAUGCACGAAAGCGUGGGGAGCAAACAGG